UCGCAGCUCGACCACCACCGGACGGCGAGCGAGAUCGCCGCCAUCCUCCAUCACCAUGACUGGGAGCUCCUCCUUCGUUCCUCCGACCUUCCCCAGAGGCUCAAUCCCGACGUGGUGCUCUCCGUGCUUCGCCAGAACCAGGAGUAUGUGCAUCCCUUCCCAGUUAUAUACUAGACGAAUGUUCUGAUGCCAUGGUACUAGUCAUAAAGGUUGCCAGUGGAGUUCUUUUCUUCAUGCUGCCUCCAAAAUGUAAGUGAGCAAUGGAGGGGAACUGGAGAGGCAGGAGUUGACUUAAUUUCAACUUUCACUCAAAUGUGAUAUGAUUCCAUCUGGCUGAUUUUCAUGACCGCAAUUGUCAAAAUAAGUGCUUUUCAUCGACUCGGAAGACAUUAGAGACUCACUUGCAGUGGAAUUGGAAAUAACAGAUAGAGCGGUCUUAGCAGUGGUAGAUGCGGAAACAACGGAUAUACCAGUAAGCUUGUGAUUAUGUGGGCUCACUCAAUGGUUGCUGUCAGUUUAGCACUACAGCCAUUUCAAUUUGUGUGCCCGAUGCAAUUGUUAUUUCUCGAGAUUCAACUACAUUCCUUUGCUCCCAAAUUACAACCAUGCUCAAGUUGGCAUAACUAUGCCGUCCUGUUAAUUUUAAUUGAGGCGCUAGGUUCAUGUCCAUGUGGUAAUUGUGACGGGGAGUGUAUCUCUCUUAAUGAAAAAUAAAAGUUGUCAGUUCUUUAAA